rnacentral:lncRNA from 1 species
GAAAAUUGAAAAGAAAAAGCAUUGAGCUAAGCAGUGAGUACGUGAAAAGAAAAACCAAAAGAAAAAAGAAAAAUAAAAAGAAAAGAAAAUCUCAAUGCAAGGGAAAGUUGGGAAAAAGAAAGUAGAGUUUGUGCUUGAAUGAUGAAAUCAUAAAUGUCUCUCUUAACUCAAGGAUUUUGCUGAUUAGAAAAACCAAUUUCGUUCUUAGCCC